UUGAACGCUGGCGGCAGGCCUAACACAUGCAAGUCGAGCGGUAGCACAGAGAGCUUGCUCUCGGGUGACGAGCGGCGGACGGGUGAGUAAUGUCUGGGAAACUGCCUGAUGGAGGGGGAUAACUACUGGAAACGGUAGCUAAUACCGCAUAACGUCGCAAGACCAAAGUGGGGGACCUUCGGGCCUCAUGCCAUCAGAUGUGCCCAGAUGGGAUUAGCUAGUAGGUGGGGUAACGGCUCACCUAGGCGACGAUCCCUAGCUGGUCUGAGAGGAUGACCAGCCACACUGGAACUGAGACACGGUCCAGACUCCUACGGGAGGCAGCAGUGGGGAAUAUUGCACAAUGGGCGCAAGCCUGAUGCAGCCAUGCCGCGUGUGUGAAGAAGGCCUUCGGGUUGUAAAGCACUUUCAGCGGGGAGGAAGGCGAUAAGGUUAAUAACCUUGUCGAUUGACGUUACCCGCAGAAGAAGCACCGGCUAACUCCGUGCCAGCAGCCGCGGUAAUACGGAGGGUGCAAGCGUUAAUCGGAAUUACUGGGCGUAAAGCGCACGCAGGCGGUCUGUCAAGUCGGAUGUGAAAUCCCCGGGCUUAACCUGGGAACUGCAUUCGAAACUGGCAGGCUAGAGUCUUGUAGAGGGGGGUAGAAUUCCAGGUGUAGCGGUGAAAUGCGUAGAGAUCUGGAGGAAUACCGGUGGCGAAGGCGGCCCCCUGGACAAAGACUGACGCUCAGGUGCGAAAGCGUGGGGAGCAAACAGGAUUAGAUACCCUGGUAGUCCACGCCGUAAACGAUGUCGAUUUGGAGGUUGUGCCCUUGAGGCGUGGCUUCCGGAGCUAACGCGUUAAAUCGACCGCCUGGGGAGUACGGCCGCAAGGUUAAAACUCAAAUGAAUUGACGGGGGCCCGCACAAGCGGUGGAGCAUGUGGUUUAAUUCGAAGCAACGCGAAGAACCUUACCUGGUCUUGACAUCCACAGAACUUUCCAGAGAUGGAUUGGUGCCUUCGGGAACUGUGAGACAGGUGCUGCAUGGCUGUCGUCAGCUCGUGUUGUGAAAUGUUGGGUUAAGUCCCGCAACGAGCGCAACCCUUAUCCUUUGUUGCCAGCGGUUCGGCCGGGAACUCAAAGGAGACUGCCAGUGAUAAACUGGAGGAAGGUGGGGAUAACGUCAAGUCAUCAUGGCCCUUACGACCAGGGCUACACACGUGCUACAAUGGCAUAUACAAAGAGAAGCGACCUCGCGAGAGCAAGCGGACCUCAUAAAGUAUGUCGUAGUCCGGAUUGGAGUCUGCAACUCGACUCCAUGAAGUCGGAAUCGCUAGUAAUCGUAGAUCAGAAUGCUACGGUGAAUACGUUCCCGGGCCUUGUACACACCGCCCGUCACACCAUGGGAGUGGGUUGCAAAAGAAGUAGGUAGCUUAACCUUCGGGAGGGCGCUUACCACUUUGUGAUUCAUGACUGGGGUG
rnacentral:rRNA from 1 species